AAAGGUGUGCUAAUACCGCAUAAUCUCUCAGGAGAAAAGCAGGGGAUCGCAAGACCUUGCGCUUUAGGAGCGGCCGAUGCCUGAUUAGCUUGUUGGUAAGGUAAAAGCUUACCUAGGCUUCGAUCAGUAGCUGGUCUGAGAGGACGACCAGCCACACUGGGACUGAGACACGGCCCAGACUCCUACGGGAGGCAGCAGUGGGGAAUUUUGGACAAUGGGGGAAACCCUGAUCCAGCCAUGCCGCGUGAGUGAAGAAGGCCUUCGGGUUGUAAAGCUCUUUCAGCCGGAACGAAACGGUUACGAUUAAUACUCGUAAUUAAUGACGGUACCGGCAGAAGAAGCACCGGCUAACUACGUGCCAGCAGCCGCGGUAAUACGUAGGGUGCGAGCGUUAAUCGGAAUUACUGGGCGUAAAGGGUCCGCAGGUUGUUUUGUAAGUCAGAUGUGAAAGCCCCGGGCUUAACCUGGGAACUGCGUCUGAAACUACAAGGCUAGAGUAUGGCAGAGGGGGGUGGAAUUCCGCGUGUAGCAGUGAAAUGCGUAGAUAUGUGGAGGAACACCGAUGGCGAAAGCAGCCCCCUGGGUCAAUACUGACGCUGAGGGACGAAAGCAUGGGGAGCAAACAGGAUUAGAUACCCUGGUAGUCCAUGCCCUAAACGAUGUCAACUAGUUGUCGGGCCUUUACGGGCUUGGUAACGUAGCUAACGCGUGAAGUUGACCGCCUGGGGAGUACGAUCGCAAGAUUAAAACUCAAAUGAAUUGACGGGGACCCGCACAAGCGGUGGAUCAUGUGGAUUAAUUCGAUGCAACGCGAAAAACCUUACCUACCCUUGACAUGUAUCGAAGCCCGCAGAAAAGCGGAGGUGCCCGAAAGGGAACGAUAACACAGGUGCUGCAUGGCUGUCGUCAGCUCGUGUCGUGAGAUGUUGGGUUAAGUCCCGCAACGAGCGCAACCCUUGUCAUUAAUUGCCAUCAUUUAGUUGGGCACUUUAAUGAAACUGCCGGUGACAAACCGGAGGAAGGUGGGGAUGACGUCAAGUCCUCAUGGCCCUUA
rnacentral:rRNA from 1 species